rnacentral:rRNA from 1 species
UACGUAGGGUCCGAGCGUUGUCCGGAAUUAUUGGGCGUAAAGAGCUCGUAGGCGGUUUGUCGCGUCUGCUGUGAAAUCCCGAGGCUCAACCUCGGGUCUGCAGUGGGUACGGGCAGACUGGAGUGCGGUAGGGGAGAAUGGAAUUCCUAGUGUAGCGGUGAAAUGCGCAGAUAUUAGGAAGAACACCGGUGGCGAAGGCGGCUCUCUGGAACGGUACUGACGCUGAGACGCGAAAGCGUGGGGAGCAAACGGG